CAUAUUGUGAUAAAUGCUUUUAAUACCAGUGCAAGAGCGAUAACUCGUGCGUUCUUGGUAGUGGUUAAACAUUAUUGAGAUCAUGAGUUUUAAAUAGAGGACGCAAUAUAAUCAAGCACCUUAUGACCCCGAUUUUCAUAGUCUACCGAAAAAGCUAGAAGGGCAGACAUGUUGCAAAAUUUCAUCUCUAGUCUGCACACUUUGGAAGGAAAAUGUUUUGACCCACCGUUCAGCAAAAUUAUUUCCAUUUUUGUGCAUUACUCUGUUCCAAGGAUACGGUUUAUAGACACUGUAAGUAAUUUAUGCGAACAAUAACAUGAUGCCCCUAAUUAUAAAGGCUUGAAUUUAUGAUCGUUGCACUUUGUGGUAUCUGUGACUGUUCAUCACGCGCUGAUGCUGUGGAUAGAAUGACAUUGAAAGUCCUUAUUCUGGGGCAUUCAUUUAUACGCAGAUUUGAGAACUUUGUUUGUAUCAACUAGUUCUGGCCAUCGGGUGACGCCGAAUUUAAAUCUUAAUUCAGAGGAGCUACAGAUUUUCUAUUUACAUGAUUUAGGUUAUGGGGGAGCGUCACUGGCUCAAAUUCGUGCGCAAGGCACUCGUUACGUAAGAUACUUGCAUCCAGAUGUUGUUUUGUUACAAGCUGUAUCAAAAGAUUUGUGUCGGAGAAACACAUCAGUGGAAGACAUUUUUCAUGAACUUGCGGACUUUGUAAUUUAACUCCGUGAUGCGGAAGAUGUGAAAAAAGUAGUGGUGCUUCAGACAUUGCAUAGAAUUCCCCCGACAAGACGUAUCAGGUUUCAUGUGGACACAGAGUGCAAGAGAGUUGUUGAAUUAGAUAGACGCAUGUCCUAUUACUUGCAGAAUGUAGAGGGAGCAGCAUUCUUUCGCCUAUCUGGUUUAUCAUAGGAUGGUAUUUCUGGUGGGUGGGGUCCAUUUGAAUAAUCAGGGAAAUAAGGAAUAUUAUAAUAAUUUGAGAGCUGUUAUUGUUUCCUUGAUAAAGUCUAUCAAUAAUGGAAAAUUGGGAGACACUAUUUGUAAACAUAUGCUAGAUAUUUUGCACUAGGUUUGUGUUGAACGUGGAAUAUCUAAUGACAAGACAACUCUCAUCAGGUUUGACUCUAAGGAAUAGAAUGGAGACAGUUAUAUCUAUGCUUAUGUUUUACCUCAAGAUACAUUGACUGAGCUAUGUAACAAUCCCAGGAUAGGUGUCUAGAAUGCUAAACACAAAUUAAGUAAAAAUAACUAAAAAAUAAAGUAGAUGAAGUUAUGUAGCUGAUUUUUGUAAUCGAAUAUCCGCCUCCCAGCCAAGAGGGAAAACUCUUUAAAAAAAAAAAAAAAAAAAAAAAAAAAAAAAAAAAAAAAUUAAAAAAAAAAAAAAAAAAAAAAAAAAAAGAUCAUUUAAUCAAAAAGACUCAAAUUAAGCUUGAAAUUCAAUCUUUUCGUGCAACAAUUUUUAUUCACGCAACUCAAGUUCUUCGUAGUCUAGAAACUGGGAAAAGUUGACAUUUGUGUCCCAUAAAAGUAUUCAAAAAUCUUUAGAUAAAUCGAAUUCCUUCAAGCUUGCUUUGUUAACCAUGAUAUGAAAUUUGAAGUGAUAUUUGAUGUCUUCCAACGAUAGCACAUGCUUUUUACACUACAGGUAUGUGUUAUAUAAUGAUUGGAAAAAAAAUAUAAGAAAAAUGCCAUUAUGAUAUGAGUAUUAAUAACAUGCAAUUUUUUCCAAAUUCCGGGAUACCUAUAAAUGUUUAUUCAGGUACCUUUGGCUAACAACAGGAUAUUAUUACAUACUGACAAGCAAUCGGUCGUGCAAAUAGUCAAUUCUGCUAAAGUCAGACUAUUGGUUAGAAACUUGUAAUUAAUAUCACUUAUUUCGCUAUUAUAUUUAAGCAGAGUUCAUUACUUAGUUAUUAUAUCAAAUUAAAUUGCAGAUUCUAUUUUACAUUGACAGUGGCUUCAUUUUUGGGCUUUGGGUCCUCGUGCAUCUCAGGUCAAUAUUGGAAACGAUAAGUUUCAAUAAUUGAUUCACACCUUUUCAACAAUGUCACAUUGGCAUCAUUAAGCUAGAUUGAUGAACAAAUCAUUAACAAUAGAGUCUGAACUUGGUACACCUAGCCAUGGCCAAUUUUUGGUACAUUUCAAUGGUAAUCCCCUAACGACUAACGUGUUAUUAGUUAUCAAACCCUAAUUGCAAUACUAUUCAUUUCUGUAACAUAAACAAAUACUGUUUUAGAUCACACUCUUUUCAGCAGCAGUAUUAUAGGGCAUUCCUGAACAAAUUAUUAAACAACUGGGCUUUUGGAAUCCAUAACUAUACAUGCCUCAAACAUUGGUGUGAGAUUUGUAUAAUUAAAAUAUUAUAGCUCAAUUUCAAUUUUGGCUUAAACGUAUUAUACAUCUAUCCAUAUAAAAAUUUUAGGUUUUGUAGAUUGUGUGUAGUCUGGGAUAUGGCAUUCAUAGGAUACUGAGCUACCCAAAGUGACAUCAUUGGUCCUUGAGGAAAAAGCCCUCGAUUUGAUUUUUUAAAAAAUGGGUUUGGAGUCAGGGAAAUUAGAUUGAAGGAAUUUGACUCUUUGAUUUAGAAUAAAUUAAAAUGCACUUGGGUGGUACAUUAAGGUUUCAAGGACCGGGGCACCUCGCCUGGAUCAUUAUUGUUUCAUAGUAUGGAAUGUUCCUGCUUAUGCUGCAAGUUAUUAGUCCGAAGUAUGUCAAUUAUUUGGUCCGAUUAUGGAUAUAAGUUUAAUCCAAGAUGAGUCUUGAUUUAUUAAAUGGAACAACUAACAAGUGUCUAUUAUACAUGAAUUUUUAUAAAAUUUGAAAUUUAAAGGUCAGGUGGGUGAAAUGGAAUGAAUUAAAAAUUAACAUGUAUGCACCAAACACGUUAGUGGCGGGUGAACUUGUAUAGACAAGUUCAUUUGGCGGAAUUCGGGGAUUACCACAAAUGAGGAAUUCUCUCAUGUCUGGCUCAAAACUCUGGGUAAUCUAUCCUCAGUACUGGGGAGGAUUAAUUUGGGGUUACCUCAGCGGUACCUGAGGGACCAGCUUGAUCUUUGUGGGUACCAAAGGCAAGUUUUGGGGCCUACCCCUGGGGGUAUUAUCCCCAUGUUGUUGUUGUAUUCCAGGGGAGGCAGGUAUAGAGUUAGGGCCCGAGUCAGAACUUGAAUUCAUUCAUUUGAUGUGGCACUCACUCUUGUUGGUACCAAGAGGUCUGUUCCCACCACAGUCACCUGUGGGGGCGCUAUCGCGCCAAGGAUCUAGGGAGGUCAUCCCGGUAGGAAGGUAGUGAUUCCCUGGGUUCCGCCGGGGUAUUUACAUCUAUGUAUAAAUAGAUUGUGACAAAUAGUCGCCACAAAAUGUAAUCAUUGUUUCACAAUAAAUGUGUAAAAUUAAUAUUGUUACUAUUCAUUGCAUCUGGGAUUAAUUGCAUUUAUCACCAUAUUGUGAUAAAUGCUUUUAAUACCAGUGCAAGAGCGAUAACUCGUGCGUUCUUGGUAGUGGUUAAACAUUAUUGAGAUCAUGAGUUUUAAAUAGAGGACGCAAUAUAAUCAAGCACCUUAUGACCCCGAUUUUCAUAGUCUACCGAAAAAGCUAGAAGGGCAGACAUGUUGCAAAAUUUCACCCACCCACCCUUCCCUAAAAUAUGUGUACAGAUUUUUGCUGCUUUCUCUUCUGUAAUUUCAGUGACAGAAGCCUAUUCUUACAUGGAAAGAGAUGUGUAUGUGAAACAACCUAGCGGUUGUAUCAUUAGCAAAGAAAGGAUGUGGUCAUUAUGUAUAGGGUGGGACCAUUUGGUGUCAAUUGGACAUUUUCUGUUGAAAUCAAUGUAAAUGAUUCAAUCCUGAGUUUUAUUGGACAUUUCUAUGGUGUGAUACAUAAUCAGUACUUCAGUGAAAUUGGUGAUCAUUGAUGAUUAUGUGUUUACGUACAAUGUUACUGUACAGUGUUACUUUUAAUAAGUAUUGUAAGCAAGUAUAGCUUAUAAAUAUAUAUUGAGAAUUUUCUUGCUUUGGGAUUAUGGUAAAGUUUCUUAAGUCACAAUCUGGGAUGGGGGCGGCGGAAUUCGGGGAUUACCACAAAUGAGGAAUUCUCUCAUGUCUGGCUCAAAACUCUGGGUAAUCUAUCCUCAGUACUGGGGAGGAUUAAUUUGGGGUUACCUCAGCGGUACCUGAGGGACCAGCUUGAUCUUUGUGGGUACCAAAGGCAAGUUUUGGGGCCUACCCCUGGGGGUAUUAUCCCCAUGUUGUUGUUGUAUUCCAGGGGAGGCAGGUAUAGAGUUAGGGCCCGAGUCAGAACUUGAAUUCAUUCAUUUGAUGUGGCACUCACUCUUGUUGGUACCAAGAGGUCUGUUCCCACCACAGUCACCUGUGGGGGCGCUAUCGCGCCAAGGAUCUAGGGAGGUCAUCCCGGUAGGAAGGUAGUGAUUCCCUGGGUUCCGCCGGGGUAUUUACAUCUAUGUAUAAAUAGAUUGUGACAAAUAGUCGCCACAAAAUGUAAUCAUUGUUUCACAAUAAAUGUGUAAAAUUAA